rnacentral:rRNA from 1 species
AUUGAACGCUGGCGGAAUGCUUUACACAUGCAAGUCGAACGGCAGCAUAGAGAGCUUGCUCUCUGAUGGCGAGUGGCGAACGGGUGAGUAAUAUAUCGGAACGUGCCUAGUAAUGGGGAAUAACUAGCUGAAAGGUUAGCUAAUGCCGCAUACGACCUACGGGUGAAAGCAGGGGAUCUUCGGACCUUGCGUUAUUAGAGCGGCCGAUAUCUGAUUAGCUUGUUGGUGGGGUAAUGGCCUACCAAGGCGACGAUCAGUAGCUGGUCUGAGAGGACGAUCAGCCACACUGGAACUGAGACACGGUCCAGACUCCUACGGGAGGCAGCAGUGGGGAAUUUUGGACAAUGGGGGCAACCCUGAUCCAGCCAUUCCGCGUGAGUGAAGAAGGCCUUCGGGUUGUAAAGCUCUUUCGCAAGAGAAGAAAACUUGCUAUCUAAUAAAUAGUAAGUAUGACGGUAUCUUGACAAGAAGCACCGGCUAACUACGUGCCAGCAGCCGCGGUAAUACGUAGGGUGCAAGCGUUAAUCGGAAUUACUGGGCGUAAAGCGUGCGCAGGCAGUUUUAUAAGUCAGAUGUGAAAUCCCCGAGCUCAACUUGGGAACUGCGUUUGAAACUAUAAGACUAGAGUGUGUCAGAGGGGGGUAGAAUUCCAAGUGUAGCAGUGAAAUGCGUAGAGAUUUGGAGGAAUACCAAUGGCGAAGGCAGCCCCCUGGGAUAACACUGACGCUCAUGC